rnacentral:piRNA from 1 species
UUCCACUGUGCAACAUCACUACUGCUCC